AUUGAACGCUGGCGGCAGGCCUAACAUAUGCAAGUCGAACGGUAACAGGAAACAGCUUGCUGUUUCGCUGACGAGUGGCGGACGGGUGAGUAAUGUCUGGGAAACUGCCUGAUGGAGGGGGAUAACUACUGGAAACGGUAGCUAAUACCGCAUAACGUCGCAAGACCAAAGAGGGGGACCUUCGGGCCUCUUGCCAUCGGAUGUGCCCAGAUGGGAUUAGCUAGUAGGUGGGGUAACGGCUCACCUAGGCGACGAUCCCUAGCUGGUCUGAGAGGAUGACCAGCCACACUGGAACUGAGACACGGUCCAGACUCCUACGGGAGGCAGCAGUGGGGAAUAUUGCACAAUGGGCGCAAGCCUGAUGCAGCCAUGCCGCGUGUAUGAAGAAGGCCUUCGGGUUGUAAAGUACUUUCAGCGGGGAGGAAGGGAGUAAAGUUAAUACCUUUACUCAUUGACGUUACCCGCAGAGGAAGCACCGGCUAACUCCGUG
rnacentral:rRNA from 1 species